rnacentral:lncRNA from 1 species
CCCUUUUCCUCUCCUGAAAAUCAAAUGUUUCGUGCCUUAGCAGAUGUGUGUUAGCACUAAGUUGUUCAAUUAACGCGGUUAAGAGGAAAUGUAUAUGUGUAUUUCGACAAAAAUUGGUAAAUUAACACCAGAGAUUCCUUCGUUUGAUUGAAGAGUUUUCUUGCUUCAAGCUGAAUAAUUCACACCGUUCUACAUGAAAAAAAAAA